GACGAACGCUGGCGGCGUGCUUAACACAUGCAAGUCGAACGGAAAGGCCCUGCUUUUGUGGGGUGCUCGAGUGGCGAACGGGUGAGUAACACGUGAGUAACCUGCCCUUGACUUUGGGAUAACUUCAGGAAACUGGGGCUAAUACCGGAUAGGAGCUCCUGCUGCAUGGUGGGGGUUGGAAAGUUUCGGCGGUUGGGGAUGGACUCGCGGCUUAUCAGCUUGUUGGUGGGGUAGUGGCUUACCAAGGCUUUGACGGGUAGCCGGCCUGAGAGGGUGACCGGCCACAAUGGGACUGAGAUACGGCCCAGACUCCUUCGGGAGGCAGCAGUGGGGAAUAUUGCACAAUGGGCGGAAGCCUGAUGCAGCAACGCCGCGUGCGGGAUGACGGCCUUCGGGUUGUAAACCGCUUUCGCCUGUGACGAAGCGUGAGUGACGGUAAUGGGUAAAGAAGCACCGGCUAACUACGUG
rnacentral:rRNA from 1 species